rnacentral:rRNA from 1 species
CCCUUAGAUGUUCUGGGCCGCACGCGCGCUACACUGACGAAUGCAACGAGCUUAUAACCUUGGCCGAAAGGUCUGGGUAAUCUCCAAAUUUCGUCGUGAUGGGGAUAGAUUAUUGCAAUUAUUAAUCUUCAACGAGGAAUGCCUAGUAAGCGCAAGUCAUCAGCUUGCGUUGAUUACGUCCCUGCCCUUUGUACACACCGCCCGUCGCUCCUACCGAUUGAAUGGUCCGGUGAAGCGCUCGGACCGCGGCCUCUUGACGGUUCGCUGUCGAUUGGCUGUGGGAAGUUCGUUAAACCUUNUNAUUUAANGGAAGGAGAANUCGUANCA